rnacentral:lncRNA from 13 species
GCAAUAGCUUGGAAUAUUGGGGUGCAAAGGGCUAGUGAGAGCCUCAGAGGUUGUGCAUCUUGCCGAGAGAUGCAUAACAUAAAAACUCUGAAAGGCACGUGUAGCAUGCACGACGCAUAAAGCACUUUCCUAGCAAGUCCUACUUCUACCUCCUCGUGGUGCUCCCUGGGUAACGCUAACAGAAGAGGGCAAAGGGCGAGUUGCCGGCGCCCUAAAACUGGCACCCCUCGGCUAAGGUAUGGGAACCCCUACAGAAGAGUCCCCGGUCCUUCAGGUUGGAAUAUUAAACGACUUUAAAAUUUAAAACGGCGAUUACAUCAUCGUACAAAGUACUACGCGCUAUGCGAAGAACUUAUCCGGAAUUCUUACAUCAACUUUCAAUUAAAAUAUUUUAGAAACUAAAGACAGUCUGACACAAUACUUAAUUAAGAUUUCAUAUCCAUUUUUGAGCAGAUAACUUUUGAAUGAAAAUAUUUCUUAAAUUUAUUACAAUUUUAUCCAUUUAUCAUAACUAAUGUUUAAAAAAAAAUGACAUAACUUGCAAAAUGGUAGUCGAAAGGUUACCGAUAGAGUAUACCACCUCAUAGCUCCCUAUUAACUAUUUUAUCAUCUAUUUACUAUAAUGUUAACUAUUAUAUUUGCCAUUUUUUACUGCAUGGAAACAUUUACUUCAGUUCUAUUGCAACAUAUGGGAAUAGAGAUGAAGGAAACAUACAAGUAUACAUGCAUAUAUACCUCCUAGCCGGUCAUAUGAUGUAUACCCGUAUGCUGUAUAAUGUUGAAGCCAAUCAAAGAUCAGCAUGGUUUCGAAUCGUGUAAAGUUUCCUCAGUUUUUUAAAUGGCAGUACACUAGGAUGAGUGUUAGUGAAUGGAUGAUGAAAGUUAGUGGAUGGGAAUGAAUGAUAUGUUUAGUACAUCAUUAAUUCCUAGUUUUCUAUGUACAGUUUGAUCACAGUGAUUUGACGAAGGGUUGGAGCUAUGAGCAACCGGCCUGAGGUUUGUUCGAGAAUAUAACAUCGAGUGCUUACAAGUAUCAUUUUAUCUUUACAAUGUUUGGGCCAUUGAUCAGAUAAAACGAUGCAUUAAGAUACUUGAUGUGUAUUUUCAAACGAAGCAACGGCAGGAAGAUUAAGUGGUAGAUGAAAACAUCUUUCCUCACCAGUAAUCAGACUACCUGACCCCCAGACCACAGUAUGUAACUAUACUGUGACCCCACAGGGGUCUGAAAGCCUAGUGUCUGAUUCUUGCUUAUAUAUGAACAAGAGCGAAAACAAGUGCUUGCGAGAAACGAAGAGAUUUGUAUCCAAGCGGCCAAUAACCAAACUAAAGUACACGACACUUGUGCUAUAUAUGUACAACACACAAACUAAACAAAUUGUAAUUGAUUGGAAUGUGAUAUUUUCAUUAAAAUAUUAAUAUAUAUAGCAUAAAAUUGUGAAAUAUAGUGAUACAAGAGCAUUUUGUGUACAUUGCUAUCAUUAAUUUAAAUUGUUUUUACUCAGAUAUAUUUCUAAUAAUUUUUAUCAUAGAGUAAAAAUUCGUCUGUCAAUACAAUUCUAAUUUUUAAAUCAAUUCGUAGUCUGUAAUUAUGAUACUCUUCAGAAAUAGCAGGACCGCAUCUCUACAUAACUUCAAUCUAGUGAAUGAAUUUCCAAAAGAUCCGCAUAUACAUCAAAAAUGGAUUGAAGCUUGCGGAUUGCAUGAUAAAGAUGUAUCUCGUCUUCAUAUUUGCUCAAAUCACUUUGAAUUUUCUAAAAAUUUUCUUGCAUCGAAGAGAUUACCUUUUAAGGUUAUACCCAUUGUAGAAAAAGCUGUAUCAAAUCAUCUAAUUGAAUUAUCAAUUAUGUGAACAAAUAUUACAAAUGUAAUAAAAUCAUCCAAAGGGAAUGUUACAUCUCCAACUGUAUUAUACGUAAUGGAUCAUAAUAUUGUUCAGUCAAUUUUGGAAGUUGCGACUCCUGAUCAUUCAUUGUCAAUGAUAGAAAGUACUUAUAUGUCUAAGUAAUUUGAAAUAAAUGUUAUAUCU